AUACGGAGGAUCCGAGCGUUAUCCGGAUUUAUUGGGUUUAAAGGGAGCGUAGGCGGACGCUUAAGUCAGUUGUGAAAGUUUGCGGCUCAACCGUAAAAUUGCAGUUGAUACUGGGUGUCUUGAGUACAGUAGAGGCAGGGGGAAGUUGUGGUGGAGAGGGGAAAUGCUUAGAUAUCACGAAGAACUCCGAUUGCGAAGGCAGCCUGCUGGACUGUAACUGACGCUGAUGCUCGAAAGUGUGGGUAUCAAACAGGAUUAGAUACCCUGGUAGUCCACACAGUAAACGAUGAAUACUCGCUGUUUGCGAUAUACAGUAAGCGGCCAAGCGAAAGCGUUAAGUAUUCCACCUGGGGAGUACGCCGGCAACGGUGAAACUCAAAGGAAUUGACGGGG
rnacentral:rRNA from 1 species